rnacentral:rRNA from 1 species
CAAGCUACUAAGGGCGUAUGGGGGAUGUCUUGGCAUUAAGUGAACAGGCGUGGAAGUCUGCGAAAAGCUUGGGGGAGUUGACAAACAAGCGAUGAUCCCGAGAUACCUGGUUGAACGUGGAGAACUGAAACAUCUAAGUACCCACAGGAAAAGAAAGAAAAAUCGAUUUCCUCAGUAGCGGCGAGCGAACGGGAAAUAGCCCAAACCGUGGAGGUUUCCUCCGCGGGGUUGUAGGGCCUUUCACAUGAGAGUCACAAAAUUGCCGGCUAGCAGAACUACUUUGAACGGUAGGCCGUAGAGGGUGACAGCCCCGUAUGCAAAAGCUAGCAAUCUCUCGAGAGGUACCUGAGUAAGUCGGGCCACGUGGAAUCCCGACUGAAUCUACGGGGACCAUCCCGUAAGGCUAAAUACUACUUAAUGACCGAUAGUGAACUCAGUAUGGUGACUGAAUGAUGAGAAGAACCCCUGCUAGGGGAGGCGCUGAACCUGAAACCAUACGCCUACAAGCGGUCGGAGCCCUAUGGCCUUUUAGGCAACGGGUGACGGCGUGCCUUUUGCAUAAUGAUCCGGCGAGUUACCGUCUGCGGCUUGGUUAAGGUCUUACGGACCGAAGCCUCAGGGAAACCGAGUCUUAAUAGGGCGACAUUUGUCGUUGGCGGUAGACGCGAAACCUGGUGAACUACCCAUGAGCAGGUUGAAGCGCGGGUUGUACCGCGUGGAGGACCGAACCCACUUGGGUUGAAAACCGAGGGGAUGACUUGUGGGGAGGAGUGAAAGUCUAAUCAAACCAGGAGAUAGCUCGUUCUCUCCGAAAUAGCUUUAGGGCUAGCCUUGAGCCACUAUGCAUCGGGGGUAGAGAUACUGAUUUGGAGGCGGGCCCUUCGCGGGGUACCCCUCUGAGCCAAACUCCGAAUACCGAUGUAAUUAUCUCAGGAGUCAGUCCGCGUGGGAUAAGCUUCGCGGUCGAGAGGGAAACAACCCAGACUAUCGGCUAAGGUCCCGAAGUCGUACUUAGUCACUAAGGAGGUUGAAUUGCUGUGACAACCAGGAUGUUGGCUUAGAAGCAGCCAUCAUUUAAAAAGUGCGUAACAGCUUACUGGUCGAGCAAUUCUGCGCCAAUAAUGAACGGGAGUAAGUGCGACACCGAAGCCAUAGAAUCUUUAUAGAUUGGUAGGAGAGCGCUGUAGGUCAGAUACGAGCCGUACCGUAAGGAGCGGUGUUGGGGCCUACAGGUGAUUAUGCCGGAAUGAGUAACGAUAAGGCAGGUGAGAAUCCUGCCCGCCGAAAGCCUAAGGUUUCCUGGGGAAGGUAAUUCCGCCCAGGGUUAGCCGGUUCCUAAGGCGAGGCCGAAAGGCGUAGUCGAUGGACAGCAGGUGAAUAUUCCUGCGCUAGCUAAGUGGACCGAUGGAGGGACGGCGUCCAGAAUGCGAUCGGGGAUCUUAGAUCAGCCCGUGGGCCAUGACGAGAUGUUGGGUAGGCAAAUCCGCCCAUAUAAUUCAAGUCAUGGAACCGAACUCCGUUUGAGAGGUAGUCGCUGGAAGGACGUCCAAGAAAAGCUUCUAAGGGUUGAAGCUUAGCUAACCGUACUAAAACUGACACAGGUAGGCGAGACGAGUAGUCUAAGGCGCUCGGGAGAACACUGGUUAAGGAACUCUGCAAAAUGAUCCCGUAAGUUCGCGAUAAGGGAUGCCCGUGAGAGCGGGCCACAGUAAAUCGAUUCCUCCGACUGUUUAUCAAAAACACAGGACCCUGCAAACUCGCAAGAGGAAGUAUAGGGUCUGACGCCUGCCCGGUGCUGGUAGGUUAAGGUAAGAGGUUAGUUUAACUACGAAGCUUUUGACCGAAGCCCCAGUAAACGGCGGCCGUAACUAUGACGGUCCUAAGGUAGCGAAGUUCCUUGUCGGGUAAGUUCCGACCUGCAUGAAAGGCGUAACGAGAGGAAUACUGUCUCAACCAGUGACCCGGUGAAAUUGUAGUCGUGGUGAAGAUGCCACGUUCCCGCAGCUAGACGGAAAGACCCCGUGAACCUUUACUGUAGGCUGAUAUUGGGUUGAGCUAUGUACUGUGUAGGAUAGGUGGGAGGCUUUGAAGCCGGCACGCUAGUGUCGGUGGAGCCGUUGGUGAAAUACCACCCUGUUCAUGGUUUAAUUCUAACGUUGAUUCCUGUGAAUCCAGGCAACGGACAGUGUCAGUUGGGCAGUUUGACUGGGGCGGUCUCCUCCCAAAGAGUAACGGAGGAGCCCAAUAGGUACUCUCAGCCUGGUUGGCAAUCAGGCAUCGAGCGCAAAGGUAGAAGAGUGCUAAACUGCGAGACUUAUCAGUCGAGCAGGUACGAAAGUAGGGCUUAGUGAUCCGGUGGUUCCGUAUGGAAGGGCCAUCGCUCAACAGAUAAAAGGUACUCCGGGGAUAACAGGCUUAUCGCUCCCGAGCGUCCAUAGCGGCGGAGCGGUUUGGCACCUCGAUGUCGGCUCAUCACAUCCUGGGGGUGAAGAAGCUCCCAAGGGUUUGGCUGUUCGCCAAUGAAAGUGGUACGUGAGCUGGGUUCAGACCGUCGUGAGACAGGUCGGUCCCUAUCUACUGUGGGCGUACGAAACUUGCGGAGGUUCAACUUUAGUACGAGAGGAUUUAGUUGGACGACCCUCUGGUGUUCCUGUUGUCGCGCUAGCGGCACGGCAGGGUAGCUAAGGUCGGAAAGGAUAAACGCUGAAGGCAUCUAAGCGUGAAGCCCGCUCCAAGAUGAGGUUUCGUUGAGCAAUGCUCGAAAGUCCCCUGGAAGACUACCAGGUUGAUAGGUCGGAUGUGUAAGUGCAGUAAUGUAUUCAGCUAACCGAUACUAACGGACGAACGCUU